UUCUGAAAGGUUGAGAUAUUAAAAACCAAUUCCCAAAGGCCAAGGGCCGAAACCAAUUCCCAAAGGCCAAGGCACUUUGCCAUUAGAAAACUCCCGUCCUAUUGCCUAUGCAUUUGUUCAUCCUCCGAAAGAUCCCGUCAAACCUUCCCGAGAUCAUCUCCAAAUGGGUGAAGUUCACCUAAGCAGAUGUCAGAUGAGGGAAGGGCGUGUAUCUUCCGCUCCUGAAAGCGAGUGUGGCAAGCAAACCUCGGACUCUUGGAAAUAGGGAUAAGACAGGUCACUUUUUAUAAUUUUAUAAGCUAACCUCAGACUCUUGGAAAUAGGGAUUGGAUGGGUGACAUUGUUACUGUAGUAUUUCAUGUACUAACACUACUUUAUUGACCAUGUUUAGUGACACGUAGAGGACAGGCACCUAUGAUUAAUUAAUUUUAGCUGUUGUCUAUUGGUAACUUGGGAGAGCUCGUGCAAAAAAAAAAAAACUGAACUUUUUUUUUACCCGGUAUUGUCUUUUUGUGUGUAAAUUUAGACUGUAAGACAGAUGCUUAUUAUGUAUGAGAAGUUGAGAUCGAAUGUAGAACACUAGGGGCUUGAAGGUUU